rnacentral:tRNA from 1 species
GUCAGGAUGGCCGAGCGGUCUAAGGGCCUGCGUUCAGGUCGCAGUCCAGUUUCUGGGCGAGGGUUCGAAUCCCUCUUCUGACA